rnacentral:tRNA from 1 species
ACUUUUAUAGGAUAGAAGUAAUCCGUUGGUCUUAGGAA